rnacentral:rRNA from 1 species
CCUACGGGAGGCAGCAGUAGGGAAUAUUGCUCAAUGGGGGCAACCCUGAAGCAGCAACGCCGCGUGGAGGAUGAAGGUUUUCGGAUUGUAAACUCCUUUUGUUAGAGAAGAUAAUGACGGUAUCUAACGAAUAAGCACCGGCUAACUCCGUGCCAGCAGCCGCGGUAAUACGGAGGGUGCAAGCGUUACUCGGAAUCACUGGGCGUAAAGAGCGCGUAGGCGGGAUAGCAAGUCAGAUGUGAAAUCCUAGGGCUUAACCAUAGAACUGCAUUUGAAACUGUUAUUCUAGAGUAUGGGAGAGGUAGGUGGAAUUCUUGGUGUAGGGGUAAAAUCCGUAGAGAUCAAGAGGAAUACUCAUUGCGAAGGCGACCUGCUAGAACAUAACGGACGCUGAUGCGCGAAAGCGUGGGGAGCAAACAGGAUUAGAUACCCUAGUAGUC